rnacentral:rRNA from 1 species
UACGUAGGGGGCGAGCGUUGUCCGGAUUUAUUGGGCGUAAAGAGCGUGUAGGCGGCUGGGUAGGUCCGUUGUGAAAACUCGAGGCUCAACCUCGAGACGCCGAUGGAAACCCCCCAGCUAGAGUCCGGAAGAGGAGAGUGGAAUUCCUGGUGUAGCGGUGAAAUUCGUAGAUAUCGGGAGGAACACCAGUGGCGAAGGCGGCAUCCUGGACCGGCAUUGACGCUGAUGUGCGAAAGCCAGGGGAGCAAACGGG